CAGUAGCCGCGGGAAUACGUAGGUGGCAAGCGUUGUCCGGAAUUAUUGGGCGUAAAGCGCGCGCAGGCGGUUUCUUAAGUCUGAUGUGAAAGCCCCCGGCUUAACCGGGGAGGGUCAUUGGAAACUGGGAGACUUAGAGUGCAGAAGAGGAGAGUGGAAUUCCAUGUGUAGCGGUGAAAUGCGUAGAUAUAUGGAGGAACACCAGUGGCGAAGGCGACUCUCUGGUCUGUAACUGACGCUGAGGCGCGAAAGCGUGGGGAGCAAACAGGAUUAGAUACCCCCGUAGUCCCUGUCUCUUAUA
rnacentral:rRNA from 1 species